rnacentral:rRNA from 1 species
UCGAACGAGAACGGGUUUAGUUUACUAAACUGUCAGCUAAGUGGCGCACGGGUGAGUAAUGUAUAGUUAACCUGCCCUCUAGAAAGGAAUAACAGUUGGAAACGACUGCUAAUGCCCUAUAUGCCCAUAAUACAUAAGUAUGCUGGGGAAACGCUUUAGUGCUAGAGGAUGGGACUGUAUGGUAUCAGAUAGUUGGUGAGGUAAUGGCUCACCAAGUCAAUGACGCCUAACUGGUUUGAGAGGAUGAUCAGUCACACUGGAACUGAGACACGGUCCAGACUCCUACGGGAGGCAGCAGUGGGGAAUAUUGCACAAUGGAGGAAACUCUGAUGCAGCAACGCCGCGUGGAGGAUGACACUUUUCGGAGCGUAAACUCCUUUUAUAUAGGAAGAUAAUGACGGUACUAUAUGAAUAAGCACCGGCUAACUCCGUGCCAGCAGCCGCGGUAAUACGGAGGGUGCAAGCGUUACUCGGAAUCACUGGGCGUAAAGAGCGUGUAGGCGGGUUAUUAAGUCAGAAGUGAAAUCCUAUGGCUCAACCAUAGAACUGCUUUUGAAACUGGUAACCUAGAGUAUGGGAGAGGUAGAUGGAAUUUCUGGUGUAGGGGUAAAAUCCGUAGA